UGCCUUCAAGUUGUUUGCCUUCUUAACCCAGACAUCUUAAGCAUUUCCAAGGAAUUAAAUUACUGUCCCGUGACAGUAAGGUUUUACUGAUGCUUAUGUUGCGUGUUGUCCCAAAACAGAACUGAUGUUAGAGAUAGUUUGAGUGUGCUCUGACAUCUGGAAAAAGUUAUACUGAAGCCUGGCUGCAGUUCAGUUCUUUACCUUUUAGGACAAGCCUCUUGCAUUUGAUCUGGGCUGGAAAUUCUCAAAAGCAGCUUUGGAGAUGUUUUGAUGUGCAUGUGUAGAGAAGGAUGUAAGAGAAAAUGCAAGAGGAUCUCAUCUGAAUUCUGCUGAGUGGCAAAGAAGGCAUCUAAUGUCGGUGGAGAGGUUAAGUAGGCUUGUCAGUGUGAGGUAGUAGUCACAUCUUUGAAUGUGUAUCCAUAUUCUGUAGGCAAACAAUUUGUUGACUGCCUGAAGGGAAGACUGAGGGAAGGUUUGUACUGGCUCCUGAUACCCCACACACAGCGUGAAAGCGCUUCCCAAGGAAGGAACUAGCUUUUCUCUGAGCAGAAGCGGAAAAGCUGCUUACAGUCCUCUCAGCCUUGCUUCAGAGUUUAUGGAAAGUGUUGGCCUUGCUUGCUUACCUCUCACAAGUGGAAACAGGCCGGCCAUCUGCGGGAGCGGUCUUAUUUAGUGGAAACUGCCUCACGUAAGAAGAGGGGGCUGGUCCCACAAAGGUGUGGGUUUGUUGACAUCUGCUCUCUUUCUGUGUGAUUGGAGGGUGCUUGGAAGGUGUGGUCUCAUCUGCAUCAUGCCUCCACCGCCUUUGGCACAGCCAAAUUCAGCCCUGCCUGAGGCUGUAAAAGGAGGGGACUGCUGCAAGCAGAGUGAAAGCGACCAUGUGAAAAAAAAAAUUACUCUUUUCCUCCUCUGUUUCUUCAGUGUAUGCAUUCCUGCUGGUAUGUACCUGAAAAGAGAUGGCCACAUUCCUGGGAAGAGGGCUUUGGGUCUGUGUAGGGCAAGCAGAAGUGCACAAAAAUGGUUGCCUGCCAGUCCGCUGCAGGAGGAAAAUAGCCUGGCAUUGUGUCACUGGAGUGCAGACAGGCAGGAGAGCCAGAAGAUUUGUCGUCAGGAACCCUCGCACGUACUCUGGGGCGGCAGCUCAAGUUUUUAAGUUACACGUACGUAUUGCACAACUUCUGAAGACAAGAAGUCCUCCAGAUGAUGCAAGCUGAGUGAGUGAUAUGUUCUGAGGAUGCCAGUGUAAAUUUACCCUUUUACACCUGAGGAGCUGACUGGUUUAAGCUGCCAUCUCAGAAGCUGUGUGAGUUAGCCCACACUGUGUGCUGUGCUGUUCUGUUUGCCCAGAGCCAGGCGAGGCUGUCUGAAUAAGGCUUGUGAAUCUCUACAGUGCCCUGCAUUCACGGCUGAGACUGCAGCAAGAGCCAUAUGCCUCAUUUUUAAAAUUGGCCUAGGUUCCAAAACACAAGGGUGCUUUGUAAAAUUUUUUGGCUUCCUGAUCUUCUUGAACUUUCUUCCUCAGACCUAGCUUCCCUCCUUCAUCCCCACCAUUGCACCCAAACAAAUACUCUGGUUAGACCUACGUGGGCAAGUGAGGGUGCCUGCCCCAAUGGCAGCUCUCAUGAGCAGAGCAGCCCUUCCACCUCCUCUGAAUGGUAUGACAGUCCCUGGCUAAUGCACAUGCACCAGAAUUGUGUUUCUCCUGUCAGAGGAAAAGAUGUCAAGCUUAUAACUGAAGGAAAAAGCUAUCUAAAGGAGAUAAGAGUAUAAGAGAUGUUACUGCAGUUCUAUAUUUGAAAUCAGUUACGUAUGUGUGUGGUAACCCAAAUGAUGGGCGGACUGCACUUUCCCAUUACCAUAAUUACAUUUCCUUUCAUAGCUAGGGUUGGGGACACAUCCAGACAUUACAGAACACAUCAGUAGAUUUAGUGUGGCUUACUCAGUCUCCAUUUAUCAGACUAUGUCCCAAUUAUGUCACAUUUAGGAAACAGAAUAAUUUUCUGGUUAUAGCACACAAAAUUUGUGGCAUACUAAUCCUAGUCAUCCUACUGUAUGACCUUGGAGAAGUUGUUUUACUUCUCUUUGAUGGUAAAAAAAAUUAACUUGCCUCUUGGAUGGAUUUUAGUCCCGUGCCAAGUUAAAAAAAAGUCUGA
ensembl:lncRNA